UACGUAGGCAGCAAGCGUUGUUCGGAAUUACUGGGCGUAAAGGGUGCGUAGGCGGUCUUGUAAGUUUGGUGUGAAAUCUCCCGGCUCAACCGGGAGGGUGCGCCGAAAACUGCAAGGCUAGAGUACAGGAGAGGAGGGUGGAAUUCCUGGUGUAGCGGUGAAAUGCGUAGAUAUCAGGAGGAACACCGGUGGUGUAGACGGCUCUCUGGACUGUUACUGACGCUGAGGCACGAAAGCGUGGGGAGCAAACAGG
rnacentral:rRNA from 1 species